CACAAAAAAUAGAUAAGAUCAGACUACAUGAACAGAUCUCAUGAAAUAACUAGAACGAUAUACAAUUAACAAAACCCGAAUUGAAACGAUUCUCCAAACAAAGGAAAGACCAACUCAAAAAUCGAAAUCUUUCAUAAGAAGAUCCGCAGAUGUUCGGAAAAGAAUUUUCACUGACAGCCUUCAAGAUAGAAUCAGAUCACACGAACAAAUGAAAGAAACCACUAUUGGUAAAGCUUAUAUAAAAAGAUGGAGUAGGUCAUGAACGAAUCGAGAGACAGACGCGAAAAUUGAAAAUUUUCGACAGAAUUCUGCCCUUGUCUGUUUAAUAAGCCAAUCCCGUAAGAAAACUCAACUACAAAUAAGAAACAGCAACACAAUUCCCACAGUUAUCACAGAAACGUAUAAAUACGCAUCUAAACGAAAAGGUUAUUUUUAAUUGUUCUU